ACAGCUGGGUGUUGUCAAGAUUGAAAUGUUCCUGGAAGUCUGCUGCAACAUUAAAUGAAAGGUUUGGCUGCUGGACCUCGCCCCUUCACUCCCUGCCCAAGUUGCCUGCAAGUCUUCAUAAGGCAGUAUUGCCCUACUGGAAGAGCUGAAUGCACAAGAUUAUGAUUGUAUAUAUAUAUAUCUUAAUAAAUUAUCUUUUUAA